GACGAACGCUGGCGGCGUGCUUAACACAUGCAAGUCGAACGGUGAAGCUCCAGCUUGCUGGAGUGGAUCAGUGGCGAACGGGUGAGUAACACGUGAGCAACCUGCCCCUGACUCUGGAAUAAGCGCUGGAAACGGCGUCUAAUACUGGAUACGAGAAGAGUCCGCAUGGGCACUUUCUGGAAAGUUUUUCGGUUGGGGAUGGGCUCGCGGCCUAUCAGCUUGUUGGUGAGGUAAUGGCUCACCAAGGCGACGACGGGUAGCCGGCCUGAGAGGGCGACCGGCCACACUGGGACUGAGACACGGCCCAGACUCCUACGGGAGGCAGCAGUGGGGAAUAUUGCACAAUGGGCGAAAGCCUGAUGCAGCGACGCCGCGUGAGGGAUGACGGCCUUCGGGUUGUAAACCUCUUUCAGCAGGGAAGAAGCGAAAGUGACGGUACCUGCAGAAGAAGCACCGGCUAACUACGUG
rnacentral:rRNA from 1 species